UACGAGAGGCCCAAACGUUAUUCGGAAUUACUGGGCUUAAAGAGUUCGUAGGCGGCAUUGCAAGUAGGGUGUGAAAGCCCUCGGCUCAACCGAGGAAUUGCGCUCUAAACUGCAGUGCUCGAGGAAGCUAGAGGUGAGCAGAACAGAUGGUGGAGCGGUGAAAUGCGUUGAUAUCAUCUGGAAUACCGGAGGCGAAGGCGGCUCACUGGGGCUUUUCUGACGCUGAGGUAACG
rnacentral:rRNA from 1 species